AGAGUUUGAUCCUGGCUCAGGAUGAACGCUAGCGGCAGGCUUAACACAUGCAAGUCGAGGGGCAGCAUAAUGGAUAGCAAUAUCUAUGGUGGCGACCGGCGCACGGGUGCGUAACGCGUAUGCAACCUACCUUUAACAGGGGGAUAACACUGAGAAAUUGGUACUAAUACCCCAUAAUAUCAUAGAAGGCAUCUUUUAUGGUUGAAAAUUCCGAUGGUUAGAGAUGGGCAUGCGUUGUAUUAGCUAGUUGGUGGGGUAACGGCUCACCAAGGCGACGAUACAUAGGGGGACUGAGAGGUUAACCCCCCACACUGGUACUGAGACACGGACCAGACUCCUACGGGAGCUGCA
rnacentral:rRNA from 1 species